rnacentral:rRNA from 1 species
UACGGAGGGAGCUAGCGUUAUUCGGAAUUACUGGGCGUAAAGCGCACGUAGGCGGCUUUGUAAGUUAGAGGUGAAAGCCCGGGGCUCAACUCCGGAAUUGCCUUUAAGACUGCAUCGCUCGAAUUGUGGAGAGGUAAGUGGAAUUCCGAGUGUAGAGGUGAAAUUCGUAGAUAUUCGGAAGAACACCAGUGGCGAAGGCGACUUACUGGACACAUAUUGACGCUGAGGUGCGAAAAGCGUGGGGGAGCAAACAGG